GGAGGUGUGGCUGAGUGGUUGAAGGCACUUGUCUUGAAAACAAGAGACCGUUUACGCGGUCCGGGAGUUCGAAUCCCCCCGCCUCCG
rnacentral:tRNA from 1 species